rnacentral:rRNA from 1 species
UACGUAGGGUGCAAGCGUUGUCCGGAAUUAUUUGGCGUAAAGAGCUCGUAGGCGGUCUGUCGCGUCGGAUGUGAAAAUCCAGGGCUCAACCCUGGACCUGCAUUCGAUACGGGCAGACUAGAGUUCGGUAGGGGAGACUGGAAUUCCUGGUGUAGCGGUGAAAUGCGCAGAUAUCAGGAGGAACACCGGUGGCGAAGGCGGGUCUCUGGGCCGAAACUGACGCUGAGGAGCGAAAGCGUGGGGAGCGAACAGG